rnacentral:rRNA from 1 species
AGUGAACGCUGGCGGUAGGCCUAACACAUGCAAGUCGAACGGCAGCACAGUAAGAGCUUGCUCUUACGGGUGGCGAGUGGCGGACGGGUGAGGAAUACAUCGGAAUCUACUUUUUCGUGGGGGAUAACGUAGGGAAACUUACGCUAAUACCGCAUACGACCUACGGGUGAAAGCAGGGGAUCUUCUGACCUUGCGCGAUUGAAUUAGCCGAUGUCGGAUUAGCUAGUUGGCGGGGUAAAUGCCCACCAAGGCGACGAUCCGUAGCUGGUCUGAGAGGAUGAUCAGCCACACUGGAACUGAGACACGGUCCAGACUCCUACGGGAGGCAGCAGUGGGGAAUAUUGGACAAUGGGCGCAAGCCUGAUCCAGCCAUACCGCGUGGGUGAAGAAGGCCUUCGGGUUGUAAAGCCCUUUUGUUGGGAAAGAAAAGCAGCAGGUUAAUACCCCGCUGUUCUGACGGUACCCAAAGAAUAAGCACCGGCUAACUUCGUG